rnacentral:lncRNA from 1 species
GCUCGCUCACCUCCUCAGAGAGGCCUCCUGACCCCUGACACGGCCUUGCCCUUCACCUCUAUCGUCCUUUAGAACAGCCCCCACCUCCCGCACAUCAUGCAGUUGCAGGUUCAGUGGCUACUGCUUGUCCUCCAGACUCCUCUCCACAAGCCAACAGCUCUCUCCUGGCUUUGAUUUUCAACCAUUUAAGUUGAAAAAAAUUCAAAACAAAUGAAAGGCACUUAAGAGAAAGCCUUGAGGAGUUCAGCAGGCCACCCGAAGUGAAGGGACUCCUUUGGGGGUCUUUGUUGUUAUCAAUUAUUUAUUGAGCCCUGAUGUGUUCCUGGCGCCACCAAGACUGAGAGGAGACAGGGUCCCUGCCCUGGGUCAUCCCAACGAAGAAGGGAGAGUUUGUGAAGCUUAAAAAUGUCCCAGAUGGUAAGACAGUUACACGUCAUA